rnacentral:rRNA from 1 species
AGCCCGCUCGCCGGAAGACCAAGGGUUCCUGUCCAACGUUAAUCGGGGCAGGGUGAGUCGACCCCUAAGGCGAGGCCGAAAGGCGUAGUCGAUGGGAAACGGGUUAAUAUUCCCGUACUUGGUGUUACUGCGAAGGGGGGACGGAGAAGGCUAUGUUGGCCGGGCGACGGUUGUCCCGGUUUAAGCGUGUAGGUGUGUGUUCCAGGUAAAUCCGGUUCACUUUAACACUGAGGCGUGAUGACGAGGCACUACGGUGCUGAAGCAACAAAUGCCCUGCUUCCAGGAAAAGCCUCUAAGCAUCAGGUAACAUCAAAUCGUACCCCAAACCGACACAGGUGGUCAGGUAGAGAAUACCAAGGCGCUUGAGAGAACUCGGGUGAAGGAACUAGGCAAAAUGGUGCCGUAACUUCGGGAGAAGGCACGCUGACAC